AUGCUCACUUCGGCAGCACAUAGUCUAAAAUUGGAAUGAUACAGAGAAGAUUAACAUGGCCCUACACAAAGAUGACAUGCAAAUUCAUGAGGUGUUUCAUAUUUUA
rfam:Canis lupus familiaris chromosome 8, whole genome shotgun sequence.